UACGGGGGGGGCAAGCGUUGUUCGGAAUUACUGGGCGUAAAGGGCUCGUAGGCGGCCAACUAAGUCAGACGUGAAAUCCCUCGGCUUAACCGGGGAACUGCAUCUGAUACUGGAUGGCUUGAGUUCGGGAGAGGGAUGUGGAAUUCCAGGUGUAGCGGUGAAAUGCGUAGAUAUCGUAAGGAAGACCAGUGGCGAAGGCGGGUCUCUGGACAGUUCCUGACGCUGAGACACGAAGGCCAGGGGAGCAAACGGG
rnacentral:rRNA from 1 species